GCCGGGGUAGCUUAGUUAGGUAGAGCGUCUGGCUGUUAAACUUCAACAGCCGCAGAGACCAGAUGGUCGCAAGUUCGAGUCUUGUCCCCGGCG
rnacentral:tRNA from 1 species